UUUUGUUUUUAAGAUGAUCUAUAAAUAUAUGCUAUUAUUUUGUUAAAUUUAAAUGUAUGCUACAGCACGAGACGAUAUUUUAUAACUAAAAUU
rnacentral:sRNA from 1 species